GGGGAUGACAGGCUUCGACGGGAGAGGCUGGUCCCGGAAUGCGAGCCGAGCGCGCACCGACCUCGUAAAAUCAGUGCAACCUUUAAGUGCCAACAACCGCACUUACGCUGCUAUGCCCCUCGCCGCCUAAGGCGAAAGCAUAACAGUCAGCAUCCUUUGAUGAUGCUGCGUCUGCCGUCCCCGCUCUCCACCCGGUGACGGAUCGGGCGAGACAAUGGUGGGGCGCUGCGUGUGACUCCGCUAAACACGCCCAAGACUAGCGGAUGGUUACAGGCUUACCCGCUUGCCGGGAUGCCUGUAAUGACGAAAAUCGGCAGGCUACGCUCGUAGAGUUCCGAGGGUCGAAUCUUUCGGACGCGGGUUCAAUUCCCGCCAUCUCCACAC
rnacentral:tmRNA from 1 species